GUUGUAUGGUUAAGUGACUAAGCGUACACGGUGGAUGCCUUGGCAGUCAGAGGCGAUGAAAGACGUAGUAACUUGCGAUAAGCCCAGAUUAGGUAGUAACAACCAUUUGAGUCUGGGAUUUCUGAAUGGGGAAACCCACGUGCAUAAGCACGUAUCCUUACCUGAAUACAUAGGGUAAGGAGGCGAACCGGGGGAACUGAAACAUCUAAGUACCCCGAGGAAAAGAAAUCAACCGAGAUUCCGAAAGUAGCGGCGAGCGAAAUUGGACUAGCCCUUAAGCUUUACACGCGUUAGACGAACGGUCUGGAAAGUCCGACGAUACAGGGUGAUAGUCCCGUAGUUGACGACGUGUGUUCAGUGAAAUCGAGUAGGGCGGGACACGUGAUAUCCUGUCUGAAUAUGGGGGGACCAUCCUCCAAGGCUAAAUACUACUGACUGACCGAUAGUGAACCAGUACCGUGAGGGAAAGGCGAAAAGAACCCCUGUGAGGGGAGUGAAAUAGAACCUGAAACCGUGUACGUACAAGCAGUAGGAGCACCUUCGUGGUGUGACUGCGUACCUUUUGUAUAAUGGGUCAGCGACUUAUAUUCAGUGGCAAGGUUAACCAUCUAGGGGAGCCGUAGGGAAACCGAGUCUUAACUGGGCGUUCAGUCUCUGGAUAUAGACCCGAAACCAGGUGAUCUAGCCAUGGGCAGGUUGAAGGUUGAGUAACAUCAACUGGAGGACCGAACCGACUAAUGUUGAAAAAUUAGCGGAUGACUUGUGGCUAGGGGUGAAAGGCCAAUCAAACCUGGAGAUAGCUGGUUCUCCCCGAAAGCUAUUUAGGUAGCGCCUCGGACGAAUACUACUGGGGGUAGAGCACUGUUAAGGCUAGGGGGUCAUCCCGACUUACCAACCCUUUGCAAACUCCGAAUACCAGUAAGUACUAUCCGGGAGACACACGGCGGGUGCUAACGUCCGUCGUGGAGAGGGAAACAACCCAGACCGCCAGCUAAGGUCCCAAAUUACUACUAAGUGGGAAACGAUGUGGGAAGGCUCAGACAGCCAGGAUGUUGGCUUAGAAGCAGCCAUCAUUUAAAGAAAGCGUAAUAGCUCACUGGUCGAGUCGGCCUGCGCGGAAGAUGUAACGGGGCUAAGUAGUAAACCGAAGCUGCGGCAAUGCACUUUGUGCAUUGGGUAGGGGAGCGUUCUGUAAGCGGUUGAAGGUGUGUGGUAACGCAUGCUGGACGUAUCAGAAGUGCGAAUGCUGACAUGAGUAACGAUAAAGGGGGUGAAAAACCUCCUCGCCGGAAGACCAAGGGUUCCUGUCCAACGUUAAUCGGGGCAGGGUAAGUCGACCCCUAAGGCGAGGCCGAAAGGCGUAGUCGAUGGGAAACGGGUUAAUAUUCCCGUACUUCUUACAAUUGCGAUGGGGGGACGGAGAAGGCUAGGUGGGCCUGGCGACGGUUGUCCAGGUUCAAGUGCGUAGGCUUGAGAGUUAGGUAAAUCCGGCUCUCUUUAAGGCUGAGACACGACGUCGAGCACCUACGGGUGUGAAGUCAUUGAUGCCAUGCUUCCAGGAAAAGCCUCUAAGCUUCAGAUUGUAAGGAAUCGUACCCCAAACCGACACAGGUGGUCGGGUAGAGAAUACCAAGGCGCUUGAGAGAACUCGGGUGAAGGAACUAGGCAAAAUGGUACCGUAACUUCGGGAGAAGGUACGCUCUUGAUGGUGAAGUCCCUUGCGGAUGGAGCUGACGAGAGUCGCAGAUACCAGGUGGCUGCAACUGUUUAUUAAAAACACAGCACUGUGCAAAAUCGUAAGAUGACGUAUACGGUGUGACGCCUGCCCGGUGCCGGAAGGUUAAUUGAUGGGGUUAGACUUCGGUCGAAGCUCUUGAUCGAAGCCCCGGUAAACGGCGGCCGUAACUAUAACGGUCCUAAGGUAGCGAAAUUCCUUGUCGGGUAAGUUCCGACCUGCACGAAUGGCGUAAUGAUGGCCACGCUGUCUCCACCCGAGACUCAGUGAAAUUGAAAUCGCUGUGAAGAUGCAGUGUACCCGCGGCUAGACGGAAAGACCCCGUGAACCUUUACUACAGCUUGGCACUGAACAUUGACCCUACAUGUGUAGGAUAGGUGGGAGGCUUUGAAGCACGUACGCCAGUAUGUGUGGAGCCGUCCUUGAAAUACCACCCUUGUAGUGUUGAUGUUCUAACGUCGACCCCUUAUCGGGGUUGCGGACAGUGCCUGGUGGGUAGUUUGACUGGGGCGGUCUCCUCCCAAAGAGUAACGGAGGAGCACGAAGGUGGGCUAAUCACGGUUGGACAUCGUGAGGUUAGUGCAAUGGCAUAAGCCCGCUUGACUGCGAGAAUGACAAUUCGAGCAGGUGCGAAAGCAGGUCAUAGUGAUCCGGUGGUUCUGAAUGGAAGGGCCAUCGCUCAACGGAUAAAAGGUACUCCGGGGAUAACAGGCUGAUACCGCCCAAGAGUUCAUAUCGACGGCGGUGUUUGGCACCUCGAUGUCGGCUCAUCACAUCCUGGGGCUGAAGUCGGUCCCAAGGGUAUGGCUGUUCGCCAUUUAAAGUGGUACGCGAGCUGGGUUUAGAACGUCGUGAGACAGUUCGGUCCCUAUCUGCCGUGGGCGUUGGAAGAUUGAAGGGGGCUGCUCCUAGUACGAGAGGACCGGAGUGGACGAACCUCUGGUGUUCGGGUUGUGUCGCCAGACGCAUUGCCCGGUAGCUAAGUUCGGAAUCGAUAACCGCUGAAAGCAUCUAAGCGGGAAGCGAGCCCUGAGAUGAGUCUUCCCUGAUACUUUAAGUAUCCUAAAGGGUUGUCGGAGACUACGACGUUGAUAGGUCAGGUGUGUAAGUGCUGUGAGGCAUUGAGCUAACUGAUACUAAUUGCCCGUGAGGCUUAACCAUACAACACCCAAGGGGUUU
rnacentral:rRNA from 1 species